AUGUGCCAUUCUCUGCUUGGAUGCACACAGAAUAUUCUUGCUCACAGAAUAACUCAGUUGAAGCCCUGAGCAUGUAAAAGGAGGCCUCUCUUAGCAGCUGGGAAGAGAGAGUGGAGAGAAAGAGGGAUCAGGACAGAUGUGGACACGGCAGAAGAAGAGGAGCCUGCUGUGACGGACUUCCUUGAAAUGACAAACAAAUGUUUAUUUCUAAUGAAUUGGACAUUACAUUUCCAAAGUUAUAAGAUGGCCAACAGACCAUGAAAAGACAAUUAUUUAGUCUCCUGCUUGAAACCAACAGCUUCAGCAAACUGCUGGCCUUGAAUCAGGACCAACCAUUCUUUUUAAUACAUACGGAAUACUUUUACUAGAACAUUCUGGCUUCAAGCAAAGCAUACUUAUUUCAUGCAAUAGGGACAGAGGGUCACUCCUGCUGAUAUCUUCUUUUGCAUCAUCUCACAUCUACCUACCUACUGGUUGGAUGAUCCUAAGCUAAUUACCUCACUCCUCUAAACUGCAGCUGUCACAUAAGCAGGUA
rnacentral:lncRNA from 1 species